GGGAGGGGGUUUGAAGCCUCAGGGCUAAGGAGCUGUGUUCUGAAGAGUAAAGGAACGCGGACCCAGCCGUGGCUUAGGAACACCUAGUCAGGGGCUGCGGUUGGCCACAGGGCAGCCACGGCUGUGGGAACAUGACUCGGAGCUGCUGCGCUCAGCUGAGAGGUGACUGCUCACCGGCGGCUGUGAUGAGAAAGCCGUGGACAGGGAACAGAUGUGAGUGUCUUGGGGGCCCUGAGACGUAUGGGUAGACCCUCAGCCCCUGACAGAACAGAUCUGGGGACUCCUAGCUCAAGUCCUCUCUCUCCACUGGAAGGUCACCAUCAAGCUCAGCCCCUAAACUCCAAGCCCCAACUACGAGAAAAUUCUGGAGGCACCAUUAAGGCCAUCAACACCACGAUGCCCCAAGAUGGAACCUCCCCACUGUCUGGAUCUAUAAGCCCGAGCAUUCUCUGAUCCGUCGCCUCCCCAGGCAAGGUUGUACCACCAGGCCCUGGACUAGAUCUAUGGGACAGCAGCGAACAGGCUACACGCACCAUCUACUGGGGGUCCUCUGCUGGCUGCCCCUUUUUCUGCUCCAGGGUCUGUAUGCAUUUCGUCCACUGCUCUCAGCCUGGAGUUCAGUAUGGGUUAGGUCCCUAAGCCCACGUUCCUCAAUGCUGACCUUGCCUCCGACCUCCCCUCAUCCCCUGGCCCAGGGCUCAGCAGGGGCGGUGCCUGGUGUGGACUGACAGGCGCGGGAGCUCACCUGCUGGCUGAGGGCAGGGAGAACUCGGGCUGGAGCAGGCCCAGCCUUUGCUUCCUACUUGAUGAGAGCGGGCCUUCAGGCCAUGCCUGCUCCACCCUGGAAUCUCACCUCUUGGAGUGGGCACAGGUGGGUGAAGAUCACCCCACCUUGCCAGGCUCCGUCCUGUCUUUUUGAGAGGACUGGUCUCUCGGCAGCUCAGGAGCUCACUUCCUAGCCAGUUAACGUCACCCGUGGCUGCCUUUGUCCUCCUUGGGCUCUCCCCUGAUCACCUGUCGGCUCCUGAUCUUCACGCUGGGGAGGCGAAGAAAGGCGAGAUGGCAGCUCUUAGGGAAGAGUCUCUGCCAGCUGGUAAAAAAUGUGUCUGCCCUAGAAGAUGACACUGUGAUCACUGUCUCCCUGAGGACACUGGCCUGGUGGACAGAUGCUGACAUUUCCCGGUGGUCCAGCUCCUUGACAGGGAGGCUGUGGACACGAGCCCCACCCCUUUCCCAGACAGUCCCCAGAGGGCUCUCCUCAAAUGGCAUGGGCUCCGUCCAUCUGUCCAAAAUCCCACAGCCUUCCUGGUUGGCGAGGACAGAGUGCCUUUGUAUUAGAAUUAGUACAGAGGUAUAGUCCUGGAGGAGAGCAAGGGCGUGCCCAAUAGAUCUAUCUCAUAACAACCUCAGCUGAAAGCACAAGCUAAAAUAGCUCUGAGCUGCUCAGGAGUUGUGCCCUCCCCUUGACCUACACCCUCGUGAGGAUUCCCACAGCUUGAGUCCCCUGCCACGUCCCUGCAGAUAACCGAGCAGCUGGUCCUCCAUGGCUGGGGCAGCCCUGACGGCAGUGGAAGGAGGAGAGUAGGUGUUGUCUUGGGUUUGCUCCCCGAGGAAGCAACGCACCAUUAUACCAACACCCAAAUAUCGGGUUCAUGCUACCAGAUUGGGCCCCGCCUGGUGACUCAGCUGGGCAGGCACCCCUGAAGGCCUCCAGCACCAUCAAUUACCUGCCUCGCUCUGGUACCCAAUUUCAGCUGGGCCUCAGGCUGCAAGGCAGGCUGGGCGGCAGCCUGGCCAUGUUCUUCAAGCUGACACGCUGAGAUCCAGGCUGUGGUUGUGUUCCGUGCACAGGAAUCCUGACGUGUCUGACGCAGGGUCUGCAUCCAAAAAUCUCCUGAGGGCUGAGGGAGGGAGCCACUUCUAUCAGGUUUCAGAGUCUCUCCCUGUUCUCCUCCAUCUUCUCCCAGCAACCGGGAUUGGCCUUCAACCAGCCUGUCAAGCAUCUCCCCUCAGGCACCAAGGAACAAUGGCCAAGGAGCCACCGGGCCCACCCCAUCCUCAGCCUGCCUCUGAGAACCUUGGUUAUCUCCCUCCCACCUUCCCUGUUGGAGGAUCACACUGAACUUGCCGGGAAGGCCCAGAGAGGGUGCCCUUUCCCAGCUCCACUGGAGGUCAGUGAAGGGACUGUCCGCUCCCCAGACCCACCAGCCCAUUUCACACAGGUCUCAUUAGAAGAGGGUUCUUUCUCCCCCUGAGUGGAAAUCAGCCUCCCUGCAACAUCUUGUGCUGCGGUAUGGAGCUCUGCAGAAGAAGAUCAAUUCCUCUCUCCCUUUGGUGACUUUAUUUUUAUAUUGGGGGACAUUUCUCGGUCACCGUCUCUCUCUGACGCAGAGGGCACUGGCUCCCAGGGAGAGUAAUCCGGUCACCUCCCAAGCUGUGUGCACUGUGGCAGCCUGGCUGACCCUGCGCGUCUCCCUGCCCCGGGAGCUGGCUGCAGGCCCUGUAGCCACCCCAGCCCCCAGCUGGGAUUUCUGGCCCCUCCAGCCUGUGCCUGUUUGCUCCUCUCUAAUAUGGGUACAGCUCCGCGCGCGUUUCCCAGACCACAGUCAUCCAAGUGCCACUGUCAGGAUUUUGCCCAUGUCUCCAAACCGCUUGCACUGUUAUUUUCUUUAAUAUUCUUUCUUUAAACUGGCUUGCCUCAUAUACUUAUUUUAUACGGUAACGUUGUAAACUACCGACUGACAUCUUUUCUAAUACGCAUCAAAAUAACGCCAGAACUACAAAACGGCCUGAAAUGAUUUUGUGUGCCAGCAGUGCUAGCUGUUCCCUGUCUCACUUUGGAACAGGAAUAGACCCGGCCCUCCAUUUCCUGGUUCCUUGCAUCCAUUCUCCAGCCAUAGAGCCAGGCCUUGCUCUCUGCUCUUGGGCCUCAACUCUCGCCAAGCCAGGAGCCCCGUCGGGGGCACUUAGGGGAGAUGGGGGCCGGGGCGAUAACCUGGGCUGCUUUGCAUUCUCAGAACGUCCAGCUGUGAACCUGGGCCAACAGGUACACCUGACCCAGCGUCAGGGAGGUGGGGAGUCCAUUUCUGUAAUUAUACCGCUGGGUGUCUGGAAACCACAAAUGAGCACUUAGAAAGCCAAAUUAGAGUCCUUAGAGGGUGAGAGGGUGAGCGUCGUGAGCUUCUGACCAGGCAGUCACAACAACCAGGGCUGUGGGCGGUUCGGCCCAGGUGUGUUUCAGAGACGAGGGAGGUAGCUGAGGCUCCCGAGCCCAUCCCCACCUGAGACAGGUAGCACCUACCUAGAGACGCUGAGAGGCACUCUCCCUGGCCUCAGGGGAAAAGUCCUACAAAGCUGCUCCCCUCGAGGCAUCUGCCAUCUCCCCAGGGCACCAGGUUCACGACCAUGACCACGCUGGCCGCUCCCUGAGGGUGGCCCUGAUCGCAUGGGCAUCAGGAGCCUUGUGUGGCCUUGACCACGUCUGGUGGUCCUGCCCAGUUCGUGGUGGUCGCUGCAGCCUCACCCUUUGCCCUCCCUGACCCAUAUCGUUGGCCUCACACAGAGCCCCCAGCUGCUCUGGAAUACUUCUCCCAAUACCAGGGUUUCAGACCUGCCUCCUAAAGACAUAGCCAGGCCCUGGAGCAGACACAAGACGGGGACAGUGAAUUUCCCAUCCCCCUCUCCAGCACACUGUACACCAUCAGGGUAGGAGAGUGUGGGGCCACUUCUGGUUGGUGACCCUAAGCACAUUUCAUAGUCUCUCCAGCCCUAAGUUUCUUUCUUUAUAUAAAACGGGGAUGCUGAUGGAAUUGUUGAUGAAGACGGAAUAAAGAAACAUCCUUAAAG